rnacentral:rRNA from 1 species
UACAGAGGGUGCAAGCGUUGUCCGGAAUCAUUGGGCGUAAAGAGCGCGUAGGCGGUCCGGUAAGUCGGUUGUGAAAACUGGGGGCUCAACCCUCAGAGGCCGACCGAUACUGCCGGGCUAGAGUCCGGAAGAGGCGAGUGGAAUUCCUGGUGUAGCGGUGAAAUGCGCAGAUAUCAGGAGGAACACCAAUGGCGAAGGCAGCUCGCUGGGACGUAACUGACGCUGAGACGCGAAAGCGUGGGGAGCAAACAGG